rnacentral:misc_RNA from 1 species
UUCAAGCUUUCUUUCUAAUACCUGCACUUGUGUAAAAUAUAAAUGUGCAAAGUGUUACAUUGACACAAGAAUUCUCUUAAAUGGAAGGGAAUCACAAGGAAUUGCCACAUACUAGCUAAACAAUUAAUCUAACAGAGCAUUUUAAAACAAUAAAACCAAACAAAAAACAUAUUUAUAUAACUAGGGGGACAAAGAAAAUCUUGCCUGUUUCUGGAACUGCUG